GAACAGAGCAAGGACUAUUAAGACCUGGAUGGACAAGCUUUGUUCGGAAAACCUGACCUCAAUCUGAAAGAACACCUUCGGUGUGAAUUCAGAGUGGAAACUGCGAGUCAGGAGCCAACAUCAGUAUCUAACCUUACAAAUGCCGCUGGAAUAAAAUACACGCCUAAGCCUUCCUAGAAGAUGCAAGAGCAGGAUGUCACUUAUUAGUGUCAAGGCAGAUGAUUAGUAACUGGUUUCGGCCAAAUCUUGGACUUGUGUUCAGAUAUAUUGGUGGGAAAUGUCGUCCUUGAAUCCUAACUAAGGCUCUAGCUACACCAAAACAAGUUUUUAUGGGUUUGAGUUGACUUGAGCUUAAGAUGAAACAUCCCCCACAGCAUGAUGCCGCCGCCACUACCAUGCUUUCCUGUGCUUAAACUGUGUAAUGACGUAAAAACACACGUUGGCUCUGAACAAAAAUAAACAAAAAUCUAAAAACACAGUAUUUCUGUUUUCAUUUUCAUACCUGUUAAAUACAGUAGCUCAAAAAUAUGACUAUUGAAAUUUUCUGCAUAACAAUAUCCUGUUUUUAACAGGUGUCGAAGAAUUACGAGGUGUCGCGUAGCAGUUUUCACACAGAGAACAGAGACCUCCAGUAGGGGGUUUUGAAAAUAACAAUAUAUUUCUGCUGAUGAGCAAAGGUGAGCACUGAGUCAUGGCUUACCGUCCACAGGAACAUCGGAAACCACGCAGCUCUACCGAUCAGGUACCAGAUGGGAGGGAGGCGGGAUGAGCUUUCAAAUUUAAACCACGACCUUCUAAAUGCCACUUCAUCUAUAGUUUACAAGAAACAGCCUUUAGAUGAUUUUUUUUCCCCCUGACAAAAAUAUUAACACCUUUUCAAUUUUUUUCCACAUUUUGUCAUGUAAAGCCCGCUAAUUUAAGUAUGUUCUACUGGAGUUUUAUAUGAUCUACACUUGCGAAGUGUAGAUAAGACAAUUUUUUUUUUUUACUAUUAAACUAAGACUUUAUGAAUCUGCCGUUUGUGGAUAAGUGGUGAAGAAAGUUGUUGGUGAAAAAGCCAUAAAAUGUCCUGUUUUUACAAAAUGGCGUGCAAAAGAAAACACUAAAAUGGAUGUUUUUGGUCUACAUGAAAGAUGUGUAUAGAU